UACAGAGGUCUCAAGCGUUGUUCGGAAUCACUGGGCUUAAAGCGUGUGUAGGCGGAUCGUUAAGUACCUUGUGAAAUCCCACGGCUCAACCGUGGAACUGCUGGGUAUACUGGCGGUCUUGAGCCACCUAGGGGCAACUGGAACAAGCGGUGGAGCGGUGAAAUGCGUAGAUAUCGCUUGGAACGCCAACGGUGAAAACAGGUUGCUGGGGGUGUGCUGACGCUGAGACACGAAAGCCAGGGGAGCGAACGGG
rnacentral:rRNA from 1 species